rnacentral:ncRNA from 2 species
ACACAGCGCUCUGGAGAGAGCCGGCCACCCGCAUUUGCGCGGCGCGCCCGGACGCCGAAGGUGCAAACCCGCCCAGCGGGGCAACUCUCAGGCAAAAGGACAGAGGGGCGGAA